rnacentral:rRNA from 1 species
CACGUAGGGUGCGAGCGUUGUCCGGAAUUAUUGGGCGUAAAGAGCUCGUAGGCGGCGUGUCGCGUCGGCCGUGAAAACCUGUGGCUUAACUGUGGGCUUGCGGUCGAUACGGGCAUCACUGGAGUUCGGCAGGGGAGACUGGAAUUCCUGGUGUAGCGGUGAAAUGCGCAGAUAUCAGGAGGAACACCGGUGGCGAAAGCAGCUUUCUGGGACGGUACUGACGCUGAGACGCGAAAGCGUGGGGAGCGAACAGG